rnacentral:rRNA from 1 species
UACGUAGGGGGCAAGCGUUGUCCGGAAUCAUUGGGCGUAAAGCGCGCGUAGGCGGCCCGGUAAGUCCGCUGUGAAAGUCAAAGGCUCAACCUUUGAAUGUCAGCGGAUACUGCCGGGCUAGAGUCCGGAAGAGGCGAGUGGAACUCCUGGUGUAGCGGUGGAAUGCGCAGAUAUCGGGAGGAACACCAGUAGCGAAGGCGGCUCGCUGGGCCAUUCCUGACGCUGAGACGCGAAAGCUAGGGGAGCGAACAGG